CCUACGGUAGGCAGCAGUGAGGAAUAUUGGUCAAUGGACGCAAGUCUGAACCAGCCAUGCCGCGUGCAGGAAGAAGGCACAAUGAGUUGUAAACUGCUUUUGUACGGGGGUAAACGCAGAUACGCGUAUCUGGCUGAAAGUAUCUGACGAAUAAGGAUCGGCUAACUCCGUGCCAGCAGCCGCGGUAAUACGGAGGAUUCGAGCGUUAUCCGGGUUUUUUGGGGUUAAAGGGUGCGUAGGCGGUCGGAUAAGUUAGCGGUGAAAUCCCGAGGCUCAACCUCGGAAUUGCCUCUGAUACUGGUCGUCUAGAGAUGAGUUGCGGUAGGCGGAAUGUGCGGUGUAGCGGUGAAAUGCAUAGAGAUCAUACAGAACACCGAUUGCGAAGGCAGCUUACCA
rnacentral:rRNA from 1 species